GAAGGCACUAAAGGUGAAUUUCUUUUUGGAAAAUGAAAGAUGGUGCCCUUUUUCUGAGGUCAGAGGUCAAUGAAAUUUCAGUUGUGGCUGUAGACCUAAGCUGGUGGCACGUGUGAGAAAUUUUGUGACGAUCGCUUUUCCUAAAUUAGAGGAAAUGUUUAAAAAAAAGAAGAAAUAAUUGCCAAAUUUCACACUGUACCUGCCAUAGGUCCUGUGGCCAUCCCAUAAUCCUUUCAAAAACACAUGUUUGGGUUUUGUUAGUGAAUUUUGAACUAUUUUUUUGUUUACUCCCAUAAAAAAGUUUUGGCCUUUUUAUUUUUUUUGGGGGGAUAUUUUGCCUGCUGUGAUGUCAUCGUUUUUGUUUUUUUUUUUGUUUUUUUUUCACAGGCUUCUGUGUUUUUGCAAAUGUUCUGAGUUUCCACAUAUUUGUCUGUUCUGAAUCAUUCUGCCUCUGAACUUCUCUUUUGUUUCCUGUUGGGAGAUGUGAAAACCAUGGGAGGUGCUGCUCUGAGUGUCAGGGUGGGGCAGGGAGUUGAGCACAUUCCUUUCUUGCAGGGAAUGUAGAAAAAGACAAAAAGCAAAGCUUUCAAGCCGGACCUGUCCAACCUGCCGUCCACACGUCGAGCUCAUUCUGAGCAGAGCAGCCAAAGAGGAGCCUCUCUUCAUCUGACGCAGCAUGUCGGGACGGCUGUCAUGUGUUUAACAGCCACUUUCCUCACAUGUCAGAGCGGGAACACAGAAUGUGGUGGUGGGGACCUGAGAGACAACACACAGAGUCCUGCAAACUUCAGAUGAAUCAGACACUUGGGUCUCUCAGGACGCUUCAACUCUGGUUGAGCUUGGCUCCAGCAGGUGUAAUGUGGUGGAUCUGCCAGCUGGAGGCGCUGCUUCACUCCUCCGCAUCCCAGGUGGAGGUGUGCUCCAGGCUGCUGUUGGUGUGUCUGCUGUGCGUGGUGCUGGCGGUCUCUUUGCGGGCCCUGAGGCACCGCCUGGGGCCCCGGCAGAGCCAGGAAACAAAAUCCAAACAGCAUCAGGAAGCUGUUCGCUUAAGCAGGAAUAACCACCAUGUAUGGAUGUCCGAAAACAGAAUCCCAGAUGUCCAAGUUCCUGUUUCCGUCGCUCUGGCAGACUCUGUGCUCCUCUGUGUCCUUCAGGAGCCCCUCCAGGACCCCAGUGUGGCCAACAUCGAAGCUCUCCUCUCCAGGUUAGAGGCAGUGUCUCAGUCUCUGGAGAAGAUUGGCCUCGGAUCAGAAGCAAAACCAGAGAACGGAGGCGGCGCGCUGUCAAACAUAGUAAAGCUGACCUCUGACUACCUGCGGGACAGGAAUAGGAUUUUGCACGCUCUCGUCCAGGUGCAGGGCCUGGACGGCCUCUGGAAGCAGCUGGAGGAGCUGCACGCGGGGGUCACGCUGUCCAAACGGGAAGGUCAAGGUCACAAGGACCUGGCUUCGGCCCAGACGGAGGCGGAGGUGAGCCUGCCAGCAGAGCGUAAAGUACUACCAGUGCUGCAGCAGACACCGUCUGUCUGGAAACAGCUGAUAGACUCACACACAACAGAUACAGUUAAAGUGCCACUCCAGUCAUCGUUAGAUCUAUUUUAAAAGUGAUCCCGGAGGUCUUCUGAUCAUGAUUAUGCUGUUUUUAGCCAAAAUCAAACAAACCUGUGACGUUUUCUAGAACACAGUUUCUGCAGAGCGGCAGUAGUUCAUUAGAAAUUCAUCUCUGAGUAUGCUGUUGGCAUAGAGCAACCCCGCCCCUCUUCCCUUUCCUGUUCCUAAGAAGUCCCUGCUUAAGCAGAGUAGGGAGCCUGUGGCCCGCCUGGCACAUUUUCUACAUCACAAAUAAUCUUCUUUACAAAUGUUUUUUUUCUGCUCCUGAUUUAUGAUGACUGAAAAACACUCAGAAAUGAAAUUUAAAGCUUAAUAUUCUUUAUACUGUACAGACCAAUAGUUUGGACACACCUUCUCGUUCAAAUGAAUGGGAAGGUGUGUCCAAACUUUUGGUCUGUACUGUAUAUGUCCUCCAUCAUCAGAAAAAUGCCACAAGAACAUGUUAAAUAUACCAAAACCAGCAUUUUCAUCGGAGUGGGCCUUUAAGAGACUCAGAAUAGAAUAGAAU
ensembl:lncRNA